CUUUAGUUAAUAAUAACAACUAAUGUCAGACAUACAAUAACCUACUGUCCUUGAUUUUUAAAGACAAAAAACAGUUAUGAAACUGAACACAAGUUUCACUACCAUGCAGAAUGUUGAGGACUCGUUCAUUUCAUAUUAGCAAAAUUAAUCUCAGUUUAAGCCCCAAGUAGUUUGAAGUGCUGAGGUGAGUUACUGCAUUCACUCUUUUCAAUCACAUAACAUGAUUAUACGCAUUUGGGGCAAUCGGCUUCAACUGUACUUUACUUUUAGUGCAAGCAGCAACUUCUAGCACCUGACUGCAGCCCGCAGAUCGGGGCGUGCCUCAACGUGGGCGGAGUUAAACGUUGAGCUCCGCCCACCUUGAACUAAACGUGGGCGGAGUUAAACGUUUAACUCCGCCCGCAUAGCGCAGUUGAACCGUUGAAGAAGAAGAAGAAUGUAUUAGAGAAGAAGAAGAAGUUUCCAAAAUGGAGAGAAUAGAGCACGUGUUUGCUGCAAACAGCCGCGUCAUUGCCACAUGGUUUCCACCAUCAUCCACAAACCCCAUGGAUCACCUGCCAGUAAUUUGUUAAAAAGUUUUGCUUUUGUAGUGGAGUUUGAGCAUUUCAUAUUCAGUUAUUGAUAUCUUUUUACAGGACAAUGCAGCCAGUCUCCAGUGGGUUCUGCUUCCUAUUUGUACCUGGACACUGGAUACUCUGCACAUUGCUCACAUCUCCUGACCCUUGGAGGCAGCUUGGUGUGAAUGAUGUUCAGGAAAACAUGCUGCAGAUUAGAAGAUGGUGGUGUCUUGUUCUCCUGCAGAACUUCCCCAUGCUAUCUGAAGAAGAGAGAUUGCAGCAAAGAAAAAGGCAACAAGAGCAGAAAAAACUACAGUAUGUGGCUGAAGUCCCCCUGAAAAUGUUUAGGCUUUCAGAAUCUGCCACUGAAGCAUCAGGUAUUGUUCCAGCCAGCAUUGUCUCACACAUAUCCAUCAAGGUUGUUGAGGUUCGAUGUCACAGAGCAGUCAUUAUUUCUCUGUGUACUUAAAAUCAACCACUUAAAUCUUGCAUUGUCAUUGUGCCUGUAGACACCACAAUCUGUUUCCUUUCUAGAUGAGGCUGAGAACAGGACUGGGAACAGGAAACGGGGUAUAUUGCCUGAGAUGGGUAGUCUAAUUUCAGUGUUUUCUGCAAUCUCCGAGCCUUUACUUAAAUAACUGUUUUCUUUAUUUUUGUUUAGGAGAAUCCUUUGAUCAGGGAUGCAAUGGCAGCAGCCCGGUGGUGUGGGACCAGAACUUUCAAGGGAAAAAUUUCCCUUCCCCAAGUUGUUACCAUGGCCAAGGAGCAACGCGUGAGGGCAGGGAACUCCUGUGUGUCUGUGAUGGCCAGGAAGAAGAGGAGACCGCUGAUCUCAGAGAACCGUUCCUUUUUCUUUUUAGUCUGCAGGAAGACUAUGAGACAUUCUGUCAAGAAAUCAUUGACAGGAGAAACAUGAAGGUGUUUUGUGCUUUUGACAGAAAAGAAUAAAGUUGUGUUCAACGGUG